AUUGAACGCUGGCGGCAUGCCUUACACAUGCAAGUCGAACGGUAACGGGCCUUCGGGUGCCGACGAGUGGCGAACGGGUGAGUAAUGCAUCGGAACGUACCUUUCAGUGGGGGAUAACGUAGCGAAAGUUACGCUAAUACCGCAUAUUCUGUGAGCAGGAAAGCAGGGGAUCGCAAGACCUUGCGCUGAUUGAGCGGCCGAUGUCAGAUUAGCUAGUUGGUGAGGUAAAGGCUCACCAAGGCGACGAUCUGUAGCGGGUCUGAGAGGAUGAUCCGCCACACUGGAACUGAGACACGGUCCAGACUCCUACGGGAGGCAGCAGUGGGGAAUUUUGGACAAUGGGGGCAACCCUGAUCCAGCCAUGCCGCGUGAGUGAAGAAGGCCUCGGGUUGGUUAAAGACGUCUUUCGGUCCGGGACGGAAAGUAC
rnacentral:rRNA from 1 species